UACGUAGGGUGCAAGCGUUAAUCGGAAUUACUGGGCGUAAAGCGUGCGCAGGCGGUUUUGUAAGUCAGAUGUGAAAUCCCCGGGGCUUAACCUGGGAACUGCGUUUGAAACUACAAGGCUAGAGUGUGGCAGAGGGGGGUGGAAUUCCACGUGUAGCAGUGAAAUGCGUAGAGAUGUGGAGGAACACCGAUGGCGAAGGCAGCCCCCUGGGUUAACACUGACGCUCAGGCACGAAAGCGUGGGGAGCAAACAGG
rnacentral:rRNA from 1 species